rnacentral:rRNA from 2 species
GACGAGGGAUCCUAGCGUUGUUCGGAAUCAUUGGGCGUAAAGCGGGUGUAGGUGGCUAAGUAAGUCAGGUGUGAAAGCCCGGGGCUCAACCUCGGAAGUGCACUUGAUACUGCAUAGCUUGAGUGUGGGAGAGGCUAUUAGAAUUCCAGGUGUAGUGGUGAAAUACGUAGAUAUCUGGAGGAAUACCGGAGGCGAAGGCGGAUAGCUGGCCCAACACUGACACUCAGACCCGAAAGUGCGGGGAUCAAACAGG